rnacentral:lncRNA from 1 species
GACAUAGUCAAUGCAUCUAGUUUUCUUUACAUAAUAUUCAACAAAAUCAUAACUAAGCAUCACACACAUAAAUUACACAUGAAAACCUAUCACACUCAAUUUAACUUAGUUUUCCUUUUCUCCUUUUUUGUUUGCCAUCAUUAAAAAAGAUAUUCAAAACUCCCCCUUAAUGAGUGCAUCUAGAUUUUCCUAUAAUCUUUAAAUCAGACUUUAAUAAAUAGGAAUCAUAAGCACUCAUAUACUUAAGUCAUACAAGCUUAUAGAUAUAGUUCAAUAACUUUAAGAGUCAAGCUUAUGUCUAUGUAAGAACAAAUGUAUGGGAGUUAAAUCAUUUCAAGAAAUUGUCAAAG